rnacentral:lncRNA from 1 species
ACACUCAAACUUCAUAAGUACUUGACUGUAUCCAAAAAUUUUUCAUCAUUGAAUUAGAAAUUUAGAUAGUCCGGUAUCAAAGUGAGUUGCUUGCAAGUCAUUGAGGCAGCCUCAAGUCAGAGAGACACUUAUACCCAUAUCCCAUUAGAGCAACUCUUGACAGCAGAGUGCUCCAGAGUUAGUCAUGCUCAAUGAAAUGUACUCUUAUAUUUCACCGUAUACCAUCCCCGUAUCACCACACACCA